GCGCGGCCUCCGCCGAGUCCACGCUGCCCUUCCAUGGCAGCCGGAGCCGGGGACCCACACCGACCUUGGGGUGAAUCGGCCCAACUCCCUGACGGGAGCAGGCCGUAGGGCAACCCUUCCUAACCACCCGCCCGAACCCGACAGCUAACUCGGUAGGCGGAACAUGGAAGGAGU
rnacentral:sRNA from 2 species